rnacentral:rRNA from 1 species
UCUCAGUUCGGAUUGGAGUCUGCAACCCGACUCCAUGAAGCUGGAUUCGCUAGUAAUCGCGCAUCAGCCACGGCGCGGUGAAUACGUUCCCGGGCCUUGUACACACCGCCCGUCAAGCCAUGGGAGCCGGGGGUGCCUGAAGUGCGUGACCGCAAGGAGCGCCCUAAGGUAAAACCGGUGACUGGGGCUAAGUCGUAACAAGGUAGC